UGCAUAGUGACUUUUCGUAACUGCAUUGACCAUACCUCAUGAUCAUGCAACACUUAUUUUUGUUUAUGAUACGAAUCGUAGACGUAGAUUAUAUAUUUUAUCAGAAUCAAUUUCUUUUUUCAAAAUCAAUUUCUAAUGCGUAUACAUGCAUAGGUUGUGUUUUUUUAACAUGUUUCAGCAUUACACUUAAUAAUCUACAAUGGCGCCAAUGUACGAUGGUCCUGACAGGUUAUGUACACGUGACAACUUCUUAUUGUCAAAGUUAGAUAGCAAAAUUUCAAUUUUGUUGAAUGAACUAAUUGCUAAAGUAGUAAGGAGGUACAUAAUUAAGUGCGUUGUAUAAUAUACAACUACGAUUAUGGAAGAAAAAAGCCAAGUUGGAGAGGAUAAUGAAGAUGAGAGUGAUAAUGUUGUUGAUCUUAAAAAUAAGAUCCCAUUAUUGAAAGAGUUAUUUCAUAUACAUGGAAAAGUUGGAGAAGGAACAUUUAGUUCUGUGUUUUUAGCUACACUAAAAUCUUCUAAUGAGUCUAAAAAGUUCGCGUUAAAACAUUUAGUGCCUACCCGUCACCCUGAGAAAAUUAAACGUGAAUUGUUAUGCAUGCAACAAAUCGGAGGUAAAGAUUAUGUGGUUGGAUUAGAACUAUGUUUGCGAAGUUUUGAGACAGUGGUUUUUGUAAUGCCAUAUAUGAGACAUGACAAAUUUUCGGAUUACGUACAAGAUAUGACUGUUCAAGAAACAAAGGACUACAUGAUAGCAUUGUUAACUGCAUUACGUAGAGUUCAUAAAUUUAAUAUUAUACAUAGGGAUGUGAAACCUAAUAACUUUUUAUAUGAUCGAUGCAAUAAAAGGUACUUGUUAGUUGAUUUUGGAUUAGCACAAGAAUAUGUUGCUGAAGAUAAAUCUAAUACUGUUACAUUAAAUAAAUCUAAUGUGCAAUCCGUGAAACGAAAAAGAUCAGAUGAAAAUAGUUUAAAUCAAUCUUUAAAUUCAAAAAAGAAAGUGACAGGAGAGAAAUGUUAUUGUUUUGGGAAACCGAAAGUUUGUUCAAUAUGUACAGUAAGACCAGAACAGGCAGCUCCAAGGGCUGGUACACCAGGAUUUCGUGCACCUGAAGUUUUAUUGAAGUAUCCCUCACAAACACCAGCAGUUGAUAUUUGGGCAAGUGGAGUAAUGAUGUUAUGUAUUCUUAGCGGUACCCAACCUUUUUUUCAUUCUCCAGAUGACUGUACAGCUUUAGCAGAAAUAACAACCAUUUUUGGAUCAAAUAAAAUGCAACAAUGUGCACACAAACUAGGAAAAAAGAUUAUCUUUUAUGAAGAUAUACCAGGCAUUGAUGUUGUAUCUUUAUGUCAAAAGUUAAAAAAGAGAAAUAAGGGUUCAUUAAACAAUAGUAGUGAUAAUAAGAUGUAUGAGAAGGCAUCAUUGGAUAUUCAGUUUCCAAAAGAAGCUUAUCACCUUUUAUUGAGACUAUUGGAUUUAGAUUACAAAACACGACUUACUGCGGAUCAAGCUUUGCAACAUCCAUUCUUAAAAUCAUAGCUUUUGUUGCGUUGUAAUAAUAAUUUUGGCUGUUAAUUACUUUUUUGUGAAAUGAACUCUGGAUGAAUCAGAAAUAUUGAACAUUAAAUGUAAUUACUUGGGAACUGGAAAAUUGAUCGACAGAAAAUUCAACUUAGAGCAUGUACAUAUACAUGAAGGCAGCAUCUACUCUACCAGCUACUAUUGCUGAGCAUGGAGUCAGUUUAGUAGAAAGAGGUAGUCUCAAAUUCAGUAUAACCUACCUCUUUUUACUGGAUACAGUAAAAGUACAAAUUAUUAAAAACUUAAUUAGUACAUAUUUGUGAAUUCGAAUGAACCACUUUGAACACGAGGAAAUCAUCACUGGGAAGUAUAAGGAGAAAAUUGACACGUACUAUAAUUAACGAUAAUCAAUAAAUAUACUUGAGAAAAGCUA